rnacentral:misc_RNA from 1 species
UCCUGGUUAACCCAGGCAGUCUCAUUAGAGUUCCCACCUUAAAUGUUGGCAACUAAUGAUAAGGGUUGCGCUCGUUGCGGGACUUAACCCAACACCUCACGGCACGAGCUGACGACAGCCAUGCAGCACCUGUGCACCGGCUCCGAAGAGAGUCGACAUUUCUGUCGAUGUCCGGUGCAUGUCAAGCCUGGGUAAGGUUCUUCGCGUUGCAUCGAAUUAAACCACAUGCUCCACUGCUUGUGCGGGUCCCCGUCAAUUCUUUUGAGUUUCAGCCUUGCGACUGUACUCCCCAGGCGGUAUACUUAUCGCGUUAGCUACGGCACAACCAGGGUUGAUUCCGGUUACACCAAGUAUACAUCGUUUACAGCAAGGACUAC